rnacentral:lncRNA from 1 species
CGAUAUUUAUACACUACAAAGCAUAACAUAUAUGUUUAUUAUGAUGCUUGAUAGAUAGUUGAAACGUUAUUCCACACAGUACACGUUGUUUUCUUUUUUUUUAAGCUGCAAGCCCUAUGGUCUAUUUUAGAUUAUUUCGUUGUUGUGAAUUUACAGUACUAUAUCCUUUCGAUAUAGAUUUUUGUUUCAUCUGGAUUAAGUGCCGAUACAUUAGAAGGCAUCUUUAACAGACCCAUUCCGCGAAGGGAUUUAAAUUAUUAUAUAUGCGUCGGGAAACCAUACGUCGAGUCUUAUCUGCAAAAUGUUACGUGGAAUUU